rnacentral:rRNA from 1 species
AUGAACGCUGGCGGCGUGCCUAACACAUGCAAGUCGAACGAAGCACUUUUUUACGAUCCCUUCGGGGUGACGGUAUUUGUGUCUGAGUGGCGGACGGGUGAGUAACGCGUGGGUAACCUGCCGUAUGCAGGGGGAUAACAGUUAGAAAUGACUGCUAAUACCGCAUAAGCGCACAGAUCGCAUGAUACAGUGUGAAAAACGAUAGUGGCAUACGAUGGACCCGCGUCUGAUUAGCUAGUUGGCGGGGUAACGGCCCACCGAGACGACGAUCAGUAGGGGUUCUGAGAGGAAAGUCCCCCACAUUGGAACUGAGACACGGUCCAAACUCCUACGGGAGGCAGCAGUGAGGAAUAUUGGUCAAUGGGCGAGAGCCUGAACCAGCCAAGUAGCGUGCAGGAUGACGGCCCUAUGGGUUGUAAACUGCUUUUAUGCGGGGAUAAAGUGAGGGACGUGUCCCUUUUUGCAGGUACCGCAUGAAUAAGGACCGGCUAAUUCCGUG